rnacentral:lncRNA from 1 species
CCUGCCUCAGUGACACCUGUGGUGGGAAGCAGACCUGAUGCUGGCUGCAAUCUGCAAUCAGAGGUCGUUUGUUUUCCUGUAUUGGUGAUGGCUCAUUAUUAUUCACCAUGAAGGUGAAGUUCAAAUCUGAGAAGUUGGGAGGGAUCACAGACAAAUUUCCUCAGAAAAAAGUAUGGUGGCGACAAAGAGGAAAAUAUCACAUGAAUUUCAGACUUCUUGGCUUCAGUAAAUAUGAAUCAUGAUAUGGAUAGUAUUUGACCAGAUGCAGCCUGGAAUGUGGCCACCUCAAGGACAGUGAAGACCAGCUGUGAAAUUUAGAAAAUAUUCCUGUGACAGUUAAGAACAUUUUAGAGGAACAUGG